rnacentral:rRNA from 1 species
AGAGUGAACGCUGGCGGCGUGCCUAACACAUGCAAGUCGAACGCGAAAGUCCCGCAAGGGAUAAGUAGAGUGGCAGACGGGUGAGUAAUGCAUAGGUAAUCUACCCUUGAGUGGGGGAUAACUCCGGGAAACCGGUGCUAAUCCCGCAUAACUUCCUGAUGCGUAAGCGUCGGGAUCAAAGGGGGGGAUCCUUCGGGACCUCUUGCUUAAGGAUGAGCCUAUGUCCUAUUAGCUAGUUGGUGAGGUAAUGGCCCACCAAGGCUUUGAUGGGUAGCCGAGCUGAGAGGCUGAUCGGCCACACUGGAACUGAAACACGGUCCAGACUCCUACGGGAGGCAGCAGUGGGGAAUUUUGCGCAAUGGGCGAAAGCCUGACGCAGCGACGCCGCGUGAGGGAUGAAGGUCUUAGGAUUGUAAACCUCUGUCAGGAAGCAUUAAAUGCACGGGUAUCAACACCAUCCGUGCUUGACUUAACUUCCAGAGGAAGCCCCGGCUAACUACGUGCCAGCAGCCGCGGUAAUACGUAGGGGGCAAGCGUUACUCGGAUUUAUUGGGCGUAAAGAGAAUUCAGGCGGUCAUGUAAGUCAGUGGUGAAAUACCUAGGCUCAACUUAGGAAUUGCCUUUGAUACUGCGUGACUUGAGGACAGGAGAGGAAGGCGGAAUUCCCGGUGUAGCGGUGGAAUGCGUAGAUAUCGGGAGGAACACCUGAGGCGAAGGCGGCUUUCUGGACUGGUCCUGACGCUGAUAUUCGAAAGCUAGGGGAGCAAACAGGAUUAGAUACCCUGGUAGUCCUAGCUGUAAACGAUGGAUACUAGAUCUUGCAUGAUUUUGCUUGGUCGAAGCUAACGCGUUAAGUAUCCCGCCUGGGGAGUACGGUCGCAAGGCUGAA